CGGCGAGUGAAGCGGCAACAGCUCAAAUUUGGAAUCUGGCCCCCCCGGGCCCGAGUUGUAAUUUGCAGAAGACGCUUCGGGCGGCCGCGCCGGUCUAAGUUCCUUGGAACAGGAUGUCACAGAGGGUGAGAGCCCCGUCUGCGACCGGCGACUGCCGCCCGUGUGAAGCUCUUUCGACGAGUCGAGUUGUUUGGGAAUGCAGCUCAAAAUGGGUGGUAAAUUUCAUCUAAAGCUAAAUACUGGCCGGAGACCGAUAGCGCACAAGUAGAGUGAUCGAAAGAUGAAAAGCACUUUGGAAAGAGAGUUAAACAGUACGUGAAAUUGUUGAAAGGGAAGCGCUUGCCCCCAGACUUGCGCGCGGCCGAUCCCCCGGGCUUCUGCCCGGGGCACUCGGCCGCGCCCAGGCCAGCAUCGGUCCUGGCGGCGGGACAACGGCCGGGGGAAUGUAGCUCCUCUCGGGGAGUGUUAUAGCCCCCGGCGCCAUGCCGCCCGCUGGGACCGAGGACCGCGCUCCGGCUAGGAUGCUGGCGUAAUGGGUGCAAGCGACCCGUCUUGAAACACGGACCAAGGAGUCUAACAUCUGUGCGAGUGUUUGGGUGCCAAACCCCUACGCGUAAUGAAGGUGAACGGAGGUGAGAACCCCCCCGGGGGCGCAUCAUCGACCGAUCCUGAUGUCUUCGGAUGGAUUUGAGUACGAGCACAGCUGUUGGGACCCGAAAGAUGGUGAACUAUGCGUGAAUAGGGUGAAGCCAGAGGAAACUCUGGUGGAGGCUCGCAGCGGUUCUGACGUGCAAAUCGAUCGUCAAAUUUGCGUAUAGGGGCGAAAGACUAAUCGAACCAU
rnacentral:rRNA from 1 species